UACGGGGGGAGCAAGCGUUGUUCGGAUUUACUGGGCGUAAAGGGCGCGUAGGCGGUCAGCACAAGUCAGUUGUGAAAUCUCCGGGCUUAACCCGGAAAGGUCAACUGAUACUGUGCGACUAGAGUGCGGAAGGGGCAACUGGAAUUCUCGGUGUAGCGGUGAAAUGCGUAGAGAUCAUGAGGAAGACCAGUGGCGAAGGCGGCUCACUGGCCCGAUACUGACGCUGAGGCACGAAAGCGUGGGGAGCAAACAGG
rnacentral:rRNA from 1 species